rnacentral:lncRNA from 1 species
GCUUCUGGAGAGGGGUGGGCGUUCUAGGCGGGAGCUGCCUUUGCUGAGUUCUCCGGGCGGGACGCCGUCUCCCGACUGUUCGGGCGCUACUGAAAACUACUCACUGCCAGUGUCGGGGUCCUGUGUUCACGACCACCACUGAAUAGUUGAGGGCCCUGUUCGCUUCCUGCACGGAUCCAGCCUCGGCGUCCUCUCAGCAGCCAGUGUCUUGGAGCGCUCCGAACCUGCUCUGGCAUGACGGCGGCAUGAGCACGGACGGGGAGUCGCCGGAGGAGCCGAGGUGGAAGGCGGUGGCCUCACCCAAGGCGUCAACCAUGCCUGAGAAGCGCGGGAGCGCUCAGGCCGCGAGCGGCAGCUGGGUAAGUUUUGACUGGGUUCGGACAGGGACUCUGGGAUUGUGGCUGUUCUAGGAGAGCCAGGUUCUUUGAAAAGCUGGCUUUCCUAUCAACUCCUCCCCAGACGAACCUCUAGGAGAUUUGGUUAUUGAUUCAAAAGCCACCAGACGCGGGACAGUAAUAUAAUUUGGAUAUAAUUCUGUGCAAAUUGACAGAAAUCUUCUGGGCACAGAUUUUGUCCACAGCAACUUAGACAGUGUGUGUGUGUCAGUCUGUCUUAAAGCCUUCAUUUUUCGCAGUCUCCGGAAUUGCCUACAGGGAUGCUGGAGGUCAAAGUGGGAGGCGCCUGAUACUUCCUCCUCCUCUGGGUUUCAGAAGUGGCCUUAGUGUAGUAAGAGGAAGCUGAAGAUCUCUGUACCUGAAGGUGAAAGUUCAGCCUGAUCUCCUUUAGUGACAUGUAAAGUUGAGAUGAGUUUGACAGCUAGGGAAGGCUUAUUUUCCUUGACCUGGAUUCACAGUACAGACCUUACCAGUGCCACUUUUUCUUCUUCUUCUUUUAAUGGUUGGAAACUAAGCACAGGGACUAAUGUCAUUUCUUCAGUCAUAAGUAUAAAAAGGAUUUUUGGGGAAGGAUCUACUUAGGACUUAAAACUUAAAGUUUUGCAGUGAAUUGAGUACAAACUCUUGCAACUAUGGGAAAGUUUGUUCAAUGAGAAAUAGGAAUUUAUUUAAAUAUGAUAUGUGUGGUCAUGUGUUUUUCCUGUUUUUAAGCUUGCAUAUUUAAUUUCUGUUAAAGAAUACUAAGUGGUUCCAAGUGCAUACUUGACUGUGUGAAUUCAUCUUUGGUACAAUUGGGAGGGUAGAGAAUUAGUAGUAUGCAGAAUGAAAUCUCAAGUCAAAAUUCAAACAUGCAAAAAUUUUGAGGUAAAACAGAACCACAUACUAUAUCACAUAGUAUAUUUUAGUAAGGGCUUACUAGGUACAAAAUUGCUGCAACUCUCAAAAGUCUGCCAAGUACAGACCUUAAAGUCUUGUUCUGUCUGCAUUCUUGUGGCUCAUUUCCUUGAUGUUUUAGACCUAGAGUAGAGCUGGCUUUUAGUCCUGAUUCUACCAGAGUUUUACCACUCAGUGCCUGAUCUGUUAAAUGGUCAUGUAUUGAAGAAGCAUAGGGGGAUAAUUUUUUUUCCCAAAGCUAAGGUUUUUCUAAUGUAGAAAGCUUACCUUGUGGGGUAAUUUCUGUAAAAUUGGUUUUUCUCAUUAAAUAGGUUACACUUUACUUUCUAAAUGAAACUAAAUUACCAGUUCACCUUCUUGGCUUCCACUAGUGGAUGGACAGUACUAAUUAGUGGACAAGCCAAGCCAAGCCCAAGGAAUGUGCCAGCUAGAAGUCAGUGUAGGGUAUUUUUUCUCUAUUUCUUUCUACCUGACUCUUUUAAAUUUGUUUUAUAUAUUUACUGUUUAUGUAUACUGUGUGUGGGUUCAAGAGCACAUAUGUUUUGAAACCUUAUGUUUUGAAACCAAAGCUCCUUCAACGUGGAGCUCACAGCCUUUCUAGACUGGCUGGUUAGUGAGUCUCAAGGAUCCUCCUAUCUCUGCUUCGUACACUCAUCCCAUCCCUUCCAGGACAGCCAGGGCUACACAGAGAAACCCUGUC